CCUACGGGAGGCAGCAGUAAGGAAUAUUGGUCAAUGGACGCAAGUCUGAGCCAGCCAUGCCGCGUGCAGGAUGAAGGCCCUCUGGGUUGUAAACUGCUUUUAUAGGGGACGAAAAAGGGACUUUCUAGUUCAACUGACGGUACCCUAGGAAUAAGCACCGGCUAACUCCGUGCCAGCAGCCGCGGUAAUACGGAGGGUGCAAGCGUUAUCCGGAUUUACUGGGUUUAAAGGGUGCGUAGGUGGGUCGGUAAGUCAGCGGUGAAAUCUUCGAGCUUAACUCGGAAACUGCCAUUGAUACUAUCGAUCUUGAAUCAUCUGGAGGUAAGCGGAAUAUGUCAUGUAGCGGUGAAAUGCUUAGAUAUGACAUAGAACACCAAUUGCGAAGGCAGCUUACUACGGAUGUAUUGACACUGAGGCACGAAAGCGUGGGGAUCAAACAGGAUUAGAUACCCUGGUAGUCCACGCCCUAAACCGAUGGAUACUCGACAUACGUGAUAUACUAUGUGUGUCUGAGCGAAAGCAUUAAGUAUCCCACCUGGGAAGUACGAUCGCAAGAUUGAAACUUAAAGGAAGUUAGACGG
rnacentral:rRNA from 1 species